UUAAUAUUGAUUGUUUGAUUUUAAUUUAAAUUAAAAUCAAAUUUUAAUCCAAACCAAACAAAUCACCUUGGCAAACCAAACGCAAUAUGAAUUUUUUAAAACCAAACGCGCUCCGAAUUUUUGAAAAAAUGGGCUACAUAUGAGUAAUAACUCUGCUUUACUCACUUGCCCACAAAAAUGCAGCCCAAAAGCCUCUCCUCCCUGGUGGCGCCACCCACUUGAUUUUACGGUACAAUUCAUGUCUACUUUACUCUUAUGUAUUCGAAUACGAAAACUUAAAAGGGUAAAGAGAAAUUUUAACGCAAGUAAGGAAUAGUUUUAGGUGAAUUGUACUAAUCGAGAAGCUUUCUUGUAAUAUUAUGUUUUGCUUAUGAUGAAUUGAUAGUUUCUUUUACCUGUUCUAGAAGAAUUUUUAUUUAUUUUUAAUUGAAAACGAAGUAAAUUUUGGGAAUUGGCUCUAUAUAGAAGAAGGAUUUUCUUCAUUUGAUUACAAUAACAGAUGAUAGCAGAGCCUAUAUUAUUCGCUUUUCCAUGUCUUGUAUUUUUAGUUUUCUUUAUGUGGUGGCCGCCCACAUAAAGAAUUGUGCUAAGUUAUGGAGCCAAAUUAUUACUAUUUCGGGGAGCUAGUUUGCGGAUAGACCUUCGUGGUGAGGUUUCCGAGGGAUUGGAAAGGGACGCCCUCGCCUCCUGGACCAAAAUUUCACUAAGGGUAAUUUAGGAAUGUUUUUUCUUGUAAAUUUCGUUUUAGGAAUUUAAGUUCUUGUAAAUUUUGAUUUUGCCCUAAUUUUUCUUAGAAAAGGGGAGCUGUCAUUAGGUUUUUAAUUACCACAAUGAAAGAGUGAAAGAGAGGUUAAAGAAGAUAUGUGUAUGAUUUUUCUUAUAAACUUAUUUUCAUCACAGUGAAUUACUGUAAUAGUGGAAAAGAACGUAGUUUCACACGGAGCUUGUAUAUCUUUAUUUCUUUAUGUUUAUUGAUUGCUCUCGAUGGAGAAUAGAGUUAGGAUUUCUAAUUCUCAAUUGAUUGCAGGGCUGAGGGGGUUUAGGAGGUUGGUUUAGCUCUAUAACUAUUGAUGAUACGAAAGAAUUGAACGAAUUUAUUUGAGAAUGGAGCAUUCAUCGUUGUUAUACUUUAUGUUUGUUGAAUUUCAAUUUGUGUUAAAAGCAGAGUUGGAUUAUCCACUUGAGCAAUGCAGGUGUAUUCAGAUGGAAUGAAGGAUAGUUUUCAGAAUGAUGAAUGCACUUGAGCAGUUGACCACCCUUGUCCACCACUACCACUAAGAAUAACACGAGAAACCAAUUUAAGCUCGACAAACUAACCAAUCAAAGAAUCCUUCAGCAUGAAUAAUGCCUAAGCCUUAUUCUAAGAUCAUUCUUGGAUUAAAUCGGUAAAUACUCACUAAUCCUCGAGAAAAAUACUACUUGUCUAUUGAAUAAGUUUGGAUGGGCUACAUGAUUUUUUUGUAAUUGCCAUUCUGUUCAAAAGUAUAUUUCAAGCAUAUGCAAAUGUAAAUAUCAACUGUGAAUAUUAUCUCUACUUUCUUAGUGUUAUGACAAAUUCGAUUACUAUUAAAAUAUUGGGGUAAAAAAUUAAAAUAAAGUGAACAAAAUUGUGUGAACUUAAUGUAGAAUUUGUUUAUAUCUUCUACAUGCAUGCAAGUUAGUUUAAGGUAAUUUGAAAUUUUUAUUAAUUGUGAGUUAUUACAGAAAUUUGUUUGUCAAUUACGUAGCAGAAUGAAGAUUGCCCAAUUCCAACCUGUUGAUAUGAUAAGUGACCUUCCUGAUAAUGUCAUAUUGAUCAUAUAAAUGUGUUUGACAAUGCGUGAUGCUGCAAAGACUAGUGUCUUGUCAAAGCAAUGGAGGUAUAAAUGGGUCAAACUGCCACAGCUGAUAUUUGAUGAUACGUUGUGGCAAGAAUCAGAGAGAAACCAAGAAUUGGCUAGAAUGAAGUUUGCAGGGAUCCUUUACCAGAUUCUUUGACUUCACCAAGGAUCCUAACUAAGUCGAGCCUCAUUAUUCCAAAACUCAGAGGUGGUUCUGAAAUUGACCAUUUGAUAUAUAUCUUAUGGAAGAAAGGUGUUGAAGAAUUCACUUUGAAAAUGAACAAGUAUGAAGCGUACAAAUUGCCUUCUUAACUGUUUAUGUGUUCACUAUUGAAACAUUUGAAACUUUCUACUUGUUCGAUCAGUCCUCUGCCAAGCUUCAAAGGUUUAAAUAGGCUGAUUACACUGGAAUUGCUUGAUGUCAUCAUUGAUACUGAUGUAUUAGGAAUUUGAUAUCUAGCUCACCAGAAUUGGAGCAACUGGCGUUGCAUUUUCGAGCUGGAUUUCACCACUUAACAAUUUAUGCUCCUAAUCUAAAACUCGUUAAAUUGAAAUGUUACCGUGCGUAUGUUUAUUUUAAGAAAUCCCCACUUCUUGCAAUAGUUUCAGCUGCUUCCUUCCCUACUCUAAGUUACGAUUCUAUCAUUCAUAGAUAUAAUUUCAUUGAUUUUUUUGAUUCCCUGCCUGCACUUCAGCGACUGCGCAUAGACUAUCAGACGAUGAAGGUAUGGUUGAUUAUAACUAUAAUUUCCUUGAAAUCAUCAAUUUAACUAUAUUUGAUCAUGCUUUUGCCAUCCGCUUUCAAGAUUUUGGCUGCAGGUCAAGUCCAAACAAGGCUUCCAGUUACUUUAGUCCAGCUUAAAAUUCUGAAUUUAUGUUAUAUAUGUUUAGACUCAGUGGAGGAUCUCUCUUAUGUUCUUUGCUUGUUCAGAAGCUCCCCGAAUCUUGAGAAACUGAAACUCCAGGCAAAUAAUGGACACGACUAUACAGUUUACGAUACUCUAUUUUCCAAUUUAACCUAAAAGUUUAAGAUAAGUGACUUUUUGUCAUAUUGUGUAGAUUUUGCAUAGGCCACUCCCAUCUGCUGAAGCACGUCCUGUUCUAGACUUUUUGAAGUUGCAAGACUAUUCAGAUGUGUAAUUUAAUCAGCUUCAAAAAGUGAAGCUGGAAUGUAUUUCUUCAACAGUUCCUGAGAUGACACUCGUCAAGCUUUUAUUAGAGAAAUCGCCGAAGCUUGAUCUGUUGGUGAUCAAGUUGAAAUGGCUAUUAUAGAAACUUGCUGACAAAGGAUUUGAGAUUUUGAUAGAGACGAACAAAUUUCAGCUUGCUUCACCAAAUGCAAAGGUCAUUUCUAAAACUUUCGAUGAAAAUGAACUUUGGUGGUAGAGCUUAAUGCAGGCUCGCUUACUAGCUCAAAGAGGUCAGGAGUAAUUGAAAUCUUGUGAUGUGGGCUUCUUGAGACUAGAAACUCUUUUUUGUCCGAAUGGCGUAUAAUAUUAUGCUAGCUACAUCUCGAUUUCAAAUUGUCUCAAAUCUUCUUGAGCUAAUGCCUUUCUUUGUUGGAUAGAUUAAUAUAAAAGCAAGUGGACACAAUGCAAUGGUGAAAGCACUUAGCCCUUGUUUGAGUUCCAUUUUAUCAAAGACUCAUUUUUUUAAAAUUCAUU
rnacentral:lncRNA from 1 species